rnacentral:tRNA from 1 species
GCCUGACUGGUUCAGUCGGAAGAGCGUGUGACUCUUGAUCUCGGGGUCAUGAGUUCGAGCCUCACAUCGGGCA